UACGUAGGGGGCGAGCGUUGUCCGGAAUCAUUGGGCGUAAAGCGCGUGUAGGCGGCCCGAUAAGUCCGCUGUGAAAGUCCAGGGCUCAACCCUGGGAUGCCGGUGGAUACUGUCGGGCUCGAGUCCGGAAGAGGCGAGUGGAAUUCCUGGUGUAGCGGUGAAAUGCGCAGAUAUCAGGAGGAACACCAAUGGCGAAGGCAGCUCGCUGGGACGUGACUGACGCUGAGACGCGAAAGCGUGGGGAGCGAACAGG
rnacentral:rRNA from 1 species